AUACGGAGGGUGCGAGCGUUGUUCGGAAUUAUUGGGCGUAAAGAGCAUGUAGGCGGUCUGUUAAGUCUGGUGUGAAAGCCCGGGGCUCAACCCCGGAAGUGCAUUGGAUACUGGCAGACUUGAGUAUGGGAGAGGAAAGCGGAAUUCCGAGUGUAGGAGUGAAAUCCGUAGAUAUUCGGAGGAACACCAGUGGCGAAGGCGGCUUUCUGGACCAAUACUGACGCUGAGAUGCGAAAGCGUGGGGAGCAAACAGGAUUAGAUACCCUAGUAGUCC
rnacentral:rRNA from 1 species